CGAGCGAUGAAACUUUAACAGAACCCUUCGGGGCGAAGAUAAAGUGGAUUAGCGGCGGACGGGUGAGUAACACGUGAGUAACCUGCCUUAGACAUUGGGAUAGCCUCGGGAAACCGGGAUUAAUACCAAAUAAAAUCAUAAUGACACAUGUCAUAACGAUCAAAACUCCGGUGGUCUAAGAUGGACUCGCGUCCCAUUAGCUAGUUGGUAGAGUAAAAGCCUACCAAGGCGACGAUGGGUAGCCGGCCUGAGAGGGUGAACGGCCACAUUGGAACUGAGAAACGGUCCAAACUUCUACGGGAGGCAGCAGUGGGGAAUAUUGCACAAUGGAGGGAACUCUGAUGCAGCGACGCCGCGUGAACGAAGAAGGCUUUCGAGUCGUAAAGUUCUUUUAUAUGGGAAGAUAAUGACGGUACCAUAAGAAAAAGCCCCGGCUAACUACGUGCCAGCAGCCGCGGUAAUACGUAGGGGGCUAGCGUUGUCCGGAAUCACUGGGCGUAAAGGGUUCGCAGGCGGAAAUGCAAGUCAGAUGUAAAAGGCAGUAGCUUAACUACUGUAAGCAUUUGAAACUGCAUAUCUUGAGAAGAGUAGAGGUAAGUGGAAUUUUUAGUGUAGCGGUGAAAUGCGUAGAUAUUAAAAAGAAUACCGGUGGCGAAGGCGACUU
rnacentral:rRNA from 2 species